GUGUGAGUGUAUGUCACAUGUGUGUGUGUGUGUGUGUGAGUAUGAACCAACCCGUUAUUUGCAUGCGAAUUGAGUUACAUUUAUGAAUUUCCUACCUAUUGAUCGACUCAAACUUCAUUUGUAUCCAAGACAACCUUUAGGCAAA